rnacentral:lncRNA from 1 species
UGCACCCAGGUGAAAUAAACAGCCUUGUUGCUCACACAAAGUCUGUUUGGUGGUCUCUUCACAUGGACGCACAUGACAUUUGGGCAGGGGACCUCCCUUGAGAGAUCAAUCCCCUGUCCUCCCGCUCUUUGCUCCAUGAGAAAGAUCCACCUACAACCUUGGGUCCUCAGACCAACCAGCCCAAGAAACAUCUCACCAAUUUUAAAUCGGGUAAGCGGCCUCUUUUUACUCUCUUCUCCAGCCUCUCUCACUAUCCCUCAAAUCUCUUUCUACUUUCAAUCUUGGCACCAUCCUUCAAUCUCUCUCUUCUCUUAAUUUCAAUUCCUUUCCUUUUCUGGUAGAGACAGAGGAGAUGCGUUUUAUCCGUGAACCCAAAACUUGUGACUUGUCCCAAAUCCUCCUUCUUUCCCUCCUGCCUGUCCCCUCAGUCCCAACCCCAAGCGUCACUGAGUCUUUUCAAAAUCUAUACUGUAGACUCCAUCCUCCCACUUUUAGAGAGAAUCUUGCGGUAGAUCUCACAGCUUAUGUGUGUAUUAAAUAAGGACUCUCCUUUUCCAGGUAUUAAAAAGCCUUGUCCACUGUAAUAUCAAAACUCAAAGCUGUCAUCCAACUUACAACUUAUAUUUUUCCUCAGGCUGGGGAUCUUGCCGUGGGGAAAGGAGGAGGGGUUAGCUCCUUCUCUCCCUGGGACCACCUCCUCUCUUACUUCCUAGCUGCAUUUUCUGUUUGACAAAGGUGGACAGGAAGAAGCAGUAAAUGAAGGCGAGUCUUAUUUGAUUGGCACAGUUAACAGGGCACUGGUACCCGCUAGUCAUGGCAGAUGACAAAGCUGACUCUCUCUUGCAGGACACUUCUGACAGUUCCUUAGAUUCUCUACCUACUUUACCUCCCAGACCUCCCACUACAUUUGCCUAGAGAGCCCCCUCACCUUCAGUAACGAAUGUUUGCUGUGCUCACAGCCAGAAGCCCUUUUCCUUUUCAAGAGUGUUUGUAGCC